rnacentral:SRP_RNA from 1 species
AGAGCGGCGCAGACGGGACGCUCGCCAAUCCGGUCAGGUCCGGAAGGAAGCAGCCGUAACGAGAUGAUUCCGGGUUGCUGUCGCUUUUCC